rnacentral:ncRNA from 1 species
UCUAUCGUGAGGUGGAAUCUGAAGGAAGGUCGAGGCAAAUCUCUGUACCGAGGAACACAAAUCAAAUCAGGCUUAAUAUGGCGGAUGAGUGUGCGAAACAACACAAAGUCCAUAGACUGUGGAAUAACUAUAUUAUUGAAUGGCACAUAAUAUGAGUCAAAA